rnacentral:misc_RNA from 1 species
GAUGAAGAACGCAGCGAAAUGCGAUAAGUAAUGUGAAUUGCAGAAUUCAGUGAAUCAUCGAAUCUUUGAACGCACAUUGCGCCCCCCAGUAUUCUGGCGGGCAUGCCUGUUCGAGCGUCAUUUCAACCAUCAAGCCCUGCUUGUGUUGGGGUCCUGCGGCUGCCCGCAGGCCCUGAAAACCAGUGGCGGGCUCGCUAGUCACACCGAGCGCAGUUGAACAUCUCGCUCAGGGCGUGCGGCGGGCUCCAGCCGUUAAAGCACCCACCUUUCGCAAGGUUGACCUCGGAUCAGGUAGGAAUACCCGCUGAACUUAAGCAUAUCAAUAAGCGGAGGA